AACGAACGCUGGCGGCAUGCCUAACACAUGCAAGUCGAACGAGAUCUUCGGGUCUAGUGGCGCACGGGUGCGUAACGCGUGGGAAUCUGCCCUUUGGUUCGGAAUAACAGUUGGAAACGACUGCUAAUACCGGAUGAUGACGAAAGUCCAAAGAUUUAUCGCCAGAGGAUGAGCCCGCGUAGGAUUAGCUAGUUGGUGUGGUAAAGGCGCACCAAGGCGACGAUCCUUAGCUGGUCUGAGAGGAUGAUCAGCCACACUGGGACUGAGACACGGCCCAGACUCCUGCGGGAGGCAGCAGUGGGGAAUAUUGGACAAUGGGCGAAAGCCUGAUCCAGCAAUGCCGCGUGAGUGAUGAAGGCCUUAGGGUUGUAAAGCUCUUUUACCCGGGAUGAUAAUGACAGUACCGGGAGAAUAAGCUCCGGCUAACUCCGUGCCAGCAGCCGCGGUAA
rnacentral:rRNA from 1 species